GAAAUGCGAUAAGUAAUGUGAAUUGCAGAAUUCAGUGAAUCAUCGAAUCUUUGAACGCACAUUGCGCCCCCUGGUAUUCCAUGGGGCAUGCCUGUUCGAGCGUCAUUUGUACCCUCAAGCUCUGCUUGGUGUUGGGUGUUUGUCCCCGUCUCCGCGCGUGGACUCGCCCCAAAGUGAUUGGCAGCCGGCGUACUGGUCCCGGAGCGCAGCACAUGUCGCGCAAACGAGUGCCUUGGUACGGCGGCGUCCAUAAGCCCCUCUCUCACGCUCUUGACCUCGGAUCAGGUAGGGAUACCCGCUGAACUUAAGC
rnacentral:misc_RNA from 1 species